CAAGAAUACUGGACUGGGUAGCCAGCCCCUUCUCCAGCAGAUUUUCCCAACACAUGGAUCGAACCCAGGGUCUCCUGCAUUGCAGGGUUUCAGACAUGUCUUAGCUGGAUCACCUGCUCAAGUUCUCAAAAGGCUACAAUCAACAUAUCUGUGAAAACUGUCUUUAGCUUUAGUGAACUGAUUCAACAGAACUGUUCAACUACAACGCUUGCUGGAGCAUUGUGUAUUUGAAAUGCAUUGAUCCAUAUGAACUCACUAUUGUUAUAAUAUUAUGUAUUACUCUUAUGAAACCUCUUGAUCUGAAUUACUU
ensembl:lncRNA